rnacentral:lncRNA from 1 species
UACCCUGGGUUCCGGGCAGGGGUGGAACUGGAUUCUGCCUGGAUGGGGAUCGGAUGGGGGUGGAGGUUUGAUUUGGGAAGCAGAGCACAGCAGCCCAAAUUUGUUGUAAUGGCGGCGGCUACAGACUUGGCAUAUGGCAUAAGACACACAGAGAGAGCCUUGCUGGUGUAGCUGAGAUUUACGACCCUCAUCCAACCAAACCAUUUCAGAUUCUUGGGGCUCAGAGCUCUCAUCGGAAAGACAUCUAUUCUGGGAGCAGGUAUAUCUCUUGCUGAGCAUGUGCUUCCACCCUGGAGGUGUCUUGGGUGAGCAUAGGUACCCUUGUGACUAUGAAGAUUGACAAAAAGUUGACGGCAACGAUGAAUUCUCUUCCAGAACUUACAUCCCAGAAGGCCCUCCCCUACUUCGGGUCUCCCUAGAGAGUGGAGAGACCUGCUGCCCUUGAAGAAGCAAACAGCCAUGUUGUGAGCUGCCUAAGCCUCUAGGUCUUGAGGGAAGCUUACAGUUAAGAGCCAGCAAAAGCCAGGGCCCUCAGUCAUGCCACACAAGGAAACGAAUCCUGCCAGCAACUAUGGGGGCUUGGAAGAGGAUAUUAAGCUUCAGUUGAGAAUGCAGCCUGACUGACACCAUCAUUGCAGCCUUGUGAGACCCCAAUCAGAGGACCCAGCUGAGCUGUACCCAGACUCCUAACCCACGGAAACUGAGAAAAUAAAUGUGUGCUAUUU